rnacentral:rRNA from 1 species
GGGGAAUAUUGGACAAUGGGCGCAAGCCUGAUCCAGCAAUGCCGCGUGAGUGAUGAGGGCCUUAGGGUUGUAAAGCUCUUUUACCCGUGAUGAUAAUGACAGUAGCGGGAGAAUAAGCCCCGGCUAACUCCGUGCCAGCAGCCGCGGUAAUACGGAGGGGGCUAGCGUUGUUCGGAAUUACUGGGCGUAAAGCGCACGUAGGCGGCUUUGUAAGUUAGAGGUGAAAGCCUGGAGCUCAACUCCAGAACUGCCUUUAAGACUGCAUCGCUUGAAUCCAGGAGAGGUGAGUGGAAUUCCGAGUGUAGAGGUGAAAUUCGUAGAUAUUCGCAAGAACACCAGUGGCGAAGGCGGCUCACUGGUCCAUAACUGACGCUGAGGCACGAAAGCGUGGGGAGCAAA